AGUGAACGCUGGCGGCAGGCCUAAUACAUGCAAGUCGAACGGCAGCACAGCAGAGCUUGCUCUGUGGGUGGCGAGUGGCGGACGGGUGCGGCAUACAUGGGAAUCUGCCGAGUCGAGGGGGAUAACGUAGGGGAACUUACGCUAAUACCGCAUGCGCGCUACGGGGGAAAGCCGGGGACCUUCGGGCCGGGCGGGCUUGGGUGAGCCCAUGGCGGAUUAGCUAGUUGGCGGGGUAAAGGCCCACCAAGGCGACGAUCCGUAGCUGGUCUGAGAGGAUGAUCAGCCACACUGGAACUGAGACACGGUCCAGACUCCUACGGGAGGCAGCAGUAGGGAAUAUUGGACAAUGGGCGCAAGCCUGAUCCAGCCAUGCCGCGUGAGUGAAGAAGGCCCUUGGGUUGUAAAGCUCUUUUGUCCGGAAAGAAAAGCGCCGGGUUAAUACCCUGGUGUCCUGACGGUACCGGAAGAAUAAGCACCGGCUAACUUCGUGCCAGCAGCCGCCGUAAUAC
rnacentral:rRNA from 1 species